GGGGCUCAGCUGGCUGCCAGGAUCAAGGACGUCUCCCGAUACUUGAAGACCCAACGCUACGACUUCUCCUCCCCCGUGAAGAUGGCUGAAGCAUUUGCAGCGAUGAGAAAGGAGAAAAACAGCAAAGCAGUAGAAGCCGCCAGGAGAGAAUAUGAACAAUUUGUGCAGGAGCUGGACCGUGGCCACCAGAAUAUAAACUGCUGCCUGAGGGUGAAGCCUGAGGAGAUGAAGAGACGGCUGGAGGGGAAACGCAGGAA